UUUUUUUUUUUUGCUAACAUGCAUAGAGAACUCUUAGAUUAGUAUUUAGCAAAAAAAAAAAAAAAAAACUCUUACAUUAGUAUCAGGAAUAAAAGUUAAUAUGUAUUAUUUGAUUCUGGCAUGUUAACUUUCUUAGCUAUAGAAAUCAGGAAUACAAGUUAAUAUGUAUUAUUUGUGUUCAUUUAUGAUGCAUUCAAGAAAACGGUUAAUGCUUGUAAUGAUUAAAAGUAGAGAAUCCAUGAAUAUCUGAUGAAACAAUAGACACAUUUCAUAUGUGUUCAUCAUAUUAGUCUGAUUUUUUUUGGAAAUCAAUACUAUUAAAACAGAAUACCCUUUUUUGAAGUGCCCUCCUGUUUUGAAAAUAAUUACAAUAUACUGCCACUCACUUUAUCUAAACAUAUGCUUUUAAUUAAAUUUAAUAUUUUCCUAAUUCUUUUUAUUUAUACCAAUAUUAAUAAAGGAACACGUUAAUUUGGCAUAACUAAAAGCUAUCCAUGAGUUUAGCAAUCUGUUACAAGAGAUCACGGCAGAUUUAGAUUUCAAUU
rnacentral:lncRNA from 1 species